UGUCCUGCUUGAUUUUCUCCUUAAAGAAUGCUACAUGAUUUAAAAGAGUCGCUACAGAUACUAAUGGGACAUUCAAACUCAUAAGUCGUAAAUAAACUGAAAACACAAUUGCUAAAAUAUAAAAAAGACCAACAGACAAACAAAAGUACACAAAAUACACUACAGAAAACUAUAAAGACCGAGCAACAUUAACCCGUCCAAAACUGGAGCUGAUCUCAGGUGCUCUGGAAGAGUAAACAUAUGCUGCUCCAUAUGUGACACCCAUCACCCUUAUAUGAAUAAAAGAACAAGUUGGCAUGAUUUAUGCAUCUGGUGUAGUACAUUUGACACUAAUAAUGUAAUAACUACCCCUGCUAUUUCUGUUGGUGGGCUAAUCCACCAUUUUCUAC
rnacentral:lncRNA from 1 species